GACGAACCGUCCAAACGUUAUUCGGAAUCACUGGGCUUACAGAGUUCGUAGGCGGUGUCGUAAGUCGGGUGUGAAAUCCCUCGGCCUAACCGAGGAACUGCGCCCGAUACUGCGAUGCUUGAGGACCAGAGGGGUGCAUGGAAUUUCCGGUGGAGCGGUGAAAUGCGUUGAUAUCGGAAGGAACUCCGGCGGCGAAAGCGAUGCACUGGCUGGUUUCUGACGCUGAGGUGCGAAAGCCAGGGGAGCAAACGGG
rnacentral:rRNA from 1 species